UGAAGUAUAGUUUAAUAAUAAAAUAUUAGUUUGUCGUACUAAAGAUAUAAAAUUUUACUUUUA
rnacentral:tRNA from 1 species